AGAUUGAACGCUGGCGGCAGGCCUAACACAUGCAAGUCGAGCGGUAGAGAGGUGCUUGCACCUCUUGAGAGCGGCGGACGGGUGAGUAAUGCCUAGGAAUCUGCCUAGUGGUGGGGGAUAACGUUCGGAAACGGACGCUAAUACCGCAUACGUCCUACGGGAGAAAGCGGGGGACCUUCGGGCCUCGCGCCAUUAGAUGAGCCUAGGUCGGAUUAGCUAGUUGGUGAGGUAAUGGCUCACCAAGGCGACGAUCCGUAACUGGUCUGAGAGGAUGAUCAGUCACACUGGAACUGAGACACGGUCCAGACUCCUACGGGAGCAGCAGUGGGGGAAUAUUGGACAA
rnacentral:rRNA from 1 species